rnacentral:rRNA from 1 species
UACGUAGGGUGCGAGCGUUGUCCGGAAUUAUUGGGCGUAAAGGGCUCGUAGGCGGUUUGUCGCGUCGGGAGUGAAAUCCACUGGCUUAACUGGUGGCUUGCUUUCGAUACGGGCAGACUGGAGGUAUGCAGGGGAGAACGGAAUUCCUGGUGUAGCGGUGAAAUGCGCAGAUAUCAGGAGGAACACCGGUGGCGAAGGCGGCGACCUGGGUAGAUACUGACGCUGAGGCGCGAAAGCGUGGGGGGCAAACAGG